rnacentral:lncRNA from 1 species
UUCUGGAUAAGCAUCUUCAUGAGGGUGUUUUGGGUCUUGAUCAACUGUUGAAGUUCCGGUAGGAAGUUGGAUCCUGGGCCAUUGGGUGACGAAGCACGUCUCGGAGGCAUUUGAUAGGUUUAUACUGGAAGAGGACAAUAGAAUAGAAUAAGGGCCUCAUGGGAAAAUCACACUACCUAUAUGCAUAUGACAAAAUUAGUCACUUCUUGAACUUUGGAGGUGCUCAGCAUUUAUGUUGUGUGGUCUUAGAAAGGGC